GAUGAUUUGUAUGGGUUUGAUCAGUUAAACUUGCAUUCAUUGGCAUGGCAUGAUACCAGCUCAACUACCAGAUUUUUCUGAUGUGAUAUCGCUAAAAAAAAAUUGUCAAAUUUUCUAAUACACGGUUGUCCGUCCAUCUGAAGACCCGAAAGUGAAGAAGUACCAUGAUGCCAAAUACCAUAUUUUCAGUGAACUUUAUGAGCAGCAGCUUUCUCAUCGUUCAAUUAUGUCUCAAGCUUUGGCAUAGUUUAUGCCUGGAUUGGUUUCAAACU